CAAAAUCAAUAUGGAAUAGUAUUGCACGAGAAUGCUAUUUUACUAAUAAUUCACGUUUAAAGUUAAAGUUUGCCGAAAUUUUCACAAAGAGUUAUCGUCUUGCGAUAAAGAUAAGGUUCCAAGCUUUUUUAGAGCAAAACGAUAUAUUUGUAAUAACAUCUAUAUUUUCUACUGCGAUCUAGCCAAAGUAUCUUUCUGGAAGGCGUGUGUAUGCUUUAAAAUUUGCUUCAAAAAAGUGGGGGACACAAACAUCAGAGAUUUCGACACGAGUAGACCUUCUGUUAAGAUAUCUAUUCUGUGGCAUGACCAAACUUAAUCUCGCGAGUAAUUUUCUUUAUGUGCGAGAUUCGUGUUUGUAGUUCCAUCAUUUAUUUCCAUGUAUGUAUUCUGCCGAAGCAGAUAUCAUCGGUUAUUUGCCGAGAAGGUUUUCUUUGCUUGAUAAUCUGGCUACUAAAAUAUCAUUGUAAACCGAAGGCUGAUGCCGAAAUUGUAAACAACAUUGUGUGUUUGAAGCUUUCGAGAGUGUUGAUAUAUAAAAAAAGAUAGGCUUUACGGAAGAACGAAGUCAAGAUAGCAUCGCAAGGUCAAUGAUUUUCCUGGCCCUGCCUAUUGCUCCUAGGAUUCAAGGAUUUUUCUUCACGUCAUGGGCAAUUAAAUUUAAGAAACUCAAGACCAAUUCGUACAUGGUAACUUGUAAAUUUAUAGUACGUGCAAAGAAUUUGGCUCUGGGUUAAUGUGAACUUUCUUGUGUCACAAUCACAACGUGAAGACAUUACACUUUGAAAUAAAAUGUAAGAGAAACAAUACUCCAAAGAAAAGUCUUUUCUUACUUCCCACAUAAUUGAGUUUUCUUAUCCUGGUGAUACAAGAUGGUUUAUAAAUCUCCUAUCAAUAAUGCUUCUUGAUAAAUGUCAAAAAUACUCAUGGUUUUUUUAUUUCUUUUAUUAUCUAAAAACUACCUAAUAAUCUUACUCCUUCUCAACAAUAAACUUUCUUUUAUUCAUUUUUUAUAUUAUUGUUAGUUUGCCUUCCCCAUCAUAAAAGUUACAUAGUUUGUAUUGUUUUCAUGCAGUAAAGCAGAACAUAAAUAAUCGUUUGUAAUCUUAAAGAGCGAGAGUGAAUUACUUCCUGGAUUACUAAUUAUAGUUGACUUAAAUAUUGAA